rnacentral:rRNA from 1 species
AAAUUGAAGAGUUUGAUCAUGGCUCAGAUUGAACGCUGGCGGCAGGCCUAACACAUGCAAGUCGAACGGUAACAGGAAGCGCUUGCUGCUUCGCUGACGAGUGGCGGACGGGUGAGUAAUGUCUGGGAAACUGCCUGAUGGAGGGGGAUAACUACUGGAAACGGUAGCUAAUACCGCAUAACGUCGCAAGACCAAAGAGGGGGACCUUCGGGCCUCUUGCCAUCGGA